rnacentral:rRNA from 1 species
UGCAAGUCGAGCGAAUGGAUUAAGAGCUUGCUCUUAUGAAGUUAGCGGCGGACGGGUGAGUAACACGUGGGUAACCUGCCCAUAAGACUGGGAUAACUCCGGGAAACCGGGGCUAAUACCGGAUAACAUUUUGCACCACAUGGUGCGAAAUUGAAAGGCGGCUUCGGCUGUCACUUAUGGAUGGACCCGCGUCGCAUUAGCUAGUUGGUGAGGUAACGGCUCACCAAGGCAACGAUGCGUAGCCGACCUGAGAGGGUGAUCGGCCACACUGGGACUGAAACACGGCCCCUACUCCUACGGGAGGCAGCAGUAGGGAAUCUUCCGCAAUGGACGAAAGUCUGACGGAGCAACGCCGCGUGAGUGAUGAAGGCUUUCGGGUCGUAAAACUCUGUUGUUAGGGAAGAACAAGUGCUAGUUGAAUAAGCUGGCACCUUGACGGUACCUAACCAGAAAUUCACGGCUAACUACGUGCCAGCAGCCGCGGUAAUACGUAGGUGGCAAGCGUUAUCCGGAAUUAUUGGGCGUAAAUUUCGCGCAGGUGGUUUCUUAAUUCUGAUGUGAAAGCCCACGGCUCAACCGUGGAGGGUCAUUGGAAACUGGAAGACUUGAA